rnacentral:rRNA from 1 species
AUUGAACGCUGGCGACAGGCCUAACACAUGCAAGUCGAGCGGAUGAAGGGAGCUUGCUCCUGGAUUCAGCGGCGGACGGGUGAGUAAUGCCCAGGAAUCUGCCUGGUAGUGGGGGAUAACGUCCGGAAACGGGCGCUAAUACCGCAUACGUCCUGAGGGAGAAAGUGGGGGAUCUUCGGACCUCACGCUAUCAGAUGAGCCUAGGUCGGAUUAGCUAGUUGGUGGGGUAAAGGCCUACCAAGGCGACGAUCCGUAACUGGUCUGAGAGGAUGAUCAGUCACACUGGAACUGAGACACGGUCCAGACUCCUACGGGAGGCAGCAGUGGGGAAUAUUGGACAAUGGGCGAAAGCCUGAUCCAGCCAUGCCGCGUGUGUGAAGAAGGUCUUCGGAUUGUAAAGCACUUUAAGUUGGGAGGAAGGGCAGUAAGUUAAUACCUUGCUGUUUUGACGUUACCAACAGAAUAAGCACCGGCUAACUUCGUG